AUACGGAGGAUGCGAGCGUUAUCCGGAUUUAUUGGGUUUAAAGGGAGCGUAGGCGGGAGCUUAAGUCAGCGGUUAAAUGGUGCGGCUCAACCGUGCCCUGCCGUUGAAACUGGGUUUCUUGAGAGUGCAAGAGGCGGAUGUAAUUCAUGGUGUAGCGGUGAAAUGCUUAGAUAUCAUGAAGAAAUCCGAUUGCGAAGGCAGUCCGCUGGGGCACGUCUGACGCUGAUGCUCGAAGGUGCGGGAAUCAAACAGGAUUAGAUACCCUGGUAGUCCGCACGGUAAACGAUGAUUACCCGCUGUCGGCGGUAGACAGUCGGCGGCCAAGCGAAAGCGAUAAGUAAUCCACCUGGGGAGUACGCCGGCAACGGUGAAACUCAAAUGAAUUGGCGGGG
rnacentral:rRNA from 1 species